AGCAGCCGCGGUAAUUCCAGCUCCAAUGGCGUAUAUUAAAGUUGUUGCAGUUAAAAAGCUCGUAGUUGAAUUUCGGGACCAAUCUGCCGGUCGUGCCUCCGGUAUGCACUGGUUUUAUUGGUUUCUCCCUUCUGACGAAUCAUGAUGUCAUUAAUUUGGUGUCAUGGGGAAUCAGGACUGUUACUUUGAAAAAAUUUAGAGUGUUUAAAGCAGGCUCACGCUUGAAUACAUUAGCAUGGAAUAAUGAAAUAGGACGUUUGACCCUAUUUUGUUGGUUUCUAGGAUCGACGUAAUGAUUAAUAGGGAUAGUUGGGGGCAUUAGUAUUCAAUUGUCAGAGGUGAAAUUCUUGGAUUUAUUGAAGACUAACUACUGCGAAAGCAUUUGCCAAGGAUGUUUUCAUUAAUCAAGAACGAAAGUUAGGGGAUCGAAGACGAUCAGAUACCGUCGUAGUCUUAACCAUAAACUAUGCCGACUAGGGAUCGGAUGAUGUUAUUUUUUAAUGACUCAUUCGGCACCUUA
rnacentral:rRNA from 1 species